CUCAUUCCUCUCACUUUAUUUCUAAAUAAAAGCCUGUACUUUGCUCUCCUACCUUGAGUGUUUGUGAAGCUCAUUCUUUGGCUUUGUGAACAAGAACCCCGGCAUCAUCUUUGGGGGCUCGUCCAGGAUUACCUCAGAGAGCCUCUCCUUGGAUGCGAGGGACUGAGGAAGGCCAUGGGCACCUGCGAGAAUCUAGGCUGAGGCUGCACUUCAGUGGCUUCUCAAAGGCCCACGUGUCUGCAAUCAGGCCCCGACAGCCCGACUGGGUAUCCAUGAGGAGUGUCUCUCUGUCUCUGUCUCUGACUUCCAGCGUGCUUCUUCAGGCUGCCCUGGCCUCUGGGUGAGGCAGGGGGCGUUCCUAACUCUCUUCCAACUUCAUCAGUUUCACGGAACCUGAUGCUCACCACCGCAAGAAGCCACAAAAAUGCCGAUAGUAAUAGAAAUGGAACCUGGAAUAGAAGUGCCCAUCUUCCGAGAGCCUCUCAACUGACCACUGAUGGAGACCUAACUGCACCCUUUACUGCACCCCUUCUCAGCAUGAAGCAGCCAGAGUGGUCUUCGCCCCCUUUCCCUAGCAGCAGCUAGGAUCUCUAUCUGUAGAGGGGGAAAUGAGACAGGGACCAUGGGCUUAGACAGAGUAGGGUGAAGGCCUCUGGAAAAGCAAGACAAGAUAUUUACAGUCAAAGCAAUGUAACAAUAUAAAGUCCCUAUCGAAAUUCUGUGUUCAGCAUUAUGCAAAGUCAAGGUCACCCUAAUUCUCUAGGGUAAAGAUAGCAGACUAGGAAUAUAGACAUCUUCAGUGAGAUCAGUUAAAGAACAAAAGGCCAGGAGCAACUUGGCCUGGAACGUUUGAGUGUUCCGCAAGGGUAUCUCAGCAUAACGCAUGACUUCACUGUAACCAGCUCUAGCAAACAGACAACAACCCAGCCCACCUUGAGGGCAGGGCAGGUGGUACAAGUCCACACCUGAAGCCCUCAAUUCCCCAAAAUCCUCAACUGCCUAUAAAUCCCCUAGACAAUGCACCACCCUGGGCUUUCUUGUCCCCUACUGGCAUGAGCCAGGAGCUCUUUCCUCUCACUUUAUUUCUAAAUAAAAGCCUGUACCUUGCUCUCCUACCUUGAGUGUCUGUGAAGCUCAUUCUUCAGCUUCGUG